rnacentral:lncRNA from 1 species
AUAUUUGUUAUUGUGUUACGAUGUGAUCAAUUUUAGGUGAUCUAGAAAUAUAAGAAGAGUUAGAAAAGAAUUGGAAGAAAGAGUAUGAAAAACAUAAGGAAAUGAAAUAGGAAAACAAGAGUUAGACUGGAGACAUUAUAGAGGUAAGUUCUCUUUUUUUUCUUAAUGCAUAACGCACAAUUAGGUAGUAAUUAUAAAAUAGAUUCGUUAUAAGAAGUCAUAUUCUUCCAAUGAUCCCUAAGUUUCAGACCGCGAACUAACUCAAAUCACAUAUUUGACUUUCUAUGAAAUUACCUAUUUAACCUAUAUAACAAAAAAACAUAAAAGUGCAAUCUAAAUUAAAUAUGUCUA